rnacentral:rRNA from 1 species
UACGUAGGGUGCAAGCGUUAAUCGGAAUUACUGGGCGUAAAGCGUGCGCAGGCGGUUAUGUAAAACAGGUGUGAAAUCCCCGGGCUCAACCUGGGAACUGCAUCUGUGACUGCAUAGCUAGAGUACGGUAGAGGGGGAUGGAAUUCCGCGUGUAGCAGUGAAAUGCGUAGAUAUGCGGAGGAACACCGAUGGCGAAGGCAAUCCCCUGGACCUGUACUGACGCUCAUGCACGAAAGCGUGGGGAGCAAACAGG